AUCUGUCCAGUCUGUUAGCAACCUAGUAGAUGAACAAAAUAAACAAUCAUGGGAGACCAUGAAGCAACAUAACAGUUAUGGUGGAGAAAACAUGUUGGCGUCUGUAGACAAAAUUUGAGUCGCCCUAAGGGAAAAAGUGGCGUCUGGCGAAGAAGGUUUCACAAACAUUACGAUUGUGCAGAAAAACGUUGCACUUGAGGUUAAAAAAGUUAACAAGCAAGAUAUUGUUUUUCCUUACGCAGACAUUAAGAUUGAUCAGCACCAAGAUCAAAUUAGGGCGAAAACCUCCGACAGCAGUAUUCGACUGAAGGCGAAGGCAAUUGGUGAUACCGAAGUUAUUGUGACCGUUGUGAUUUAUAAAGAUAUGAGCCAUGUUUUACCAAAUACUUCAGAAACACCUAUAGGAGUCAAGACAAAAGAUCAGCAAAUAAAUGGUCCUAUUCUUUCACUUUCUCUCUCCAAUCACUUCGGAAAGCUGAAUCCGCCUGUAUUGCUGACAUUUGAACGAAUGAAGGCAAACCUCACAAGCCCUGUUUGCAGUUACUGGACGUUUGGAAGGCCGACGCAGCGUCUGUGCCAUUACGAACGUUAUCAACUGUGGGAAUGGGGAUUUCAAUGGCAUGUCUGCUGAUCACAAUGUUGACAUACAUAUAUCUCUGGAGGUUCCUGAAAAGUGACAGGACAAUUUUGCUUUUGAAUCUAUGUGGCGCGCUAAUGCUGUCAUACAUUAUAUUUUUAGCUGGUGUAGACAAAACUGCCAGCAAGGCUCUGUGUGCAACAACCGCAGUAUUUCUACACUACAUAUACUUAGUAGUGUUUUGUCUGAUGCUGGCAGAAGGUAUAGACAUAGUCAUCAUGGCGGUGUACGUAUUCAUCACCAAAUCAAGACUGAAGCC